AAAUUGAAGAGUUUGAUCAUGGCUCAGAUUGAACGCUGGCGGCAGGCCUAACACAUGCAAGUCGAACGGUAACAGGAAGCAGCUUGCUGCUUCGCUGACGAGUGGCGGACGGGUGAGUAAUGUCUGGGAAACUGCCUGAUGGAGGGGGAUAACUACUGGAAACGGUAGCUAAUACCGCAUAACGUCGCAAGACCAAAGAGGGGGAUCUUCGGACCUCUUGCCAUCGGAUGUGCCCAGAUGGGAUUAGCUAGUAGGUGGGGUAACGGCUCACCUAGGCGACGAUCCCUAGCUGGUCUGAGAGGAUGACCAGCCACACUGGAACUGAGACACGGUCCAGACUCCUACGGGAGGCAGCAGUGGGGAAUAUUGCACAAUGGGCGCAAGCCUGAUGCAGCCAUGCCGCGUGUAUGAAGAAGGCCUUCGGGUUGUAAAGUACUUUCAGCGGGGAGGAAGGGAGUAAAGUUAAUACCUUUGCUCAUUGACGUUACCCGCAGAAGAAGCACCGGCUAACUCCGUGCCAGCAGCCGCGGUAAUACGGAGGGUG
rnacentral:rRNA from 1 species